GCGGCAGGCUUAACACAUGCAAGUCGAACGCUGUAGCAAUACAGAGUGGCAGACGGGUGAGUAACGCGUGGGAACGUGCCUUUCGGUUCGGAAUAACUCAGGGAAACUUGAGCUAAUACCGGAUACGCCCUUCGGGGGAAAGAUUUAUUGCCGAAAGAUCGGCCCGCGUCCGAUUAGCUAGUUGGUGAGGUAACGGCUCACCAAGGCGACGAUCGGUAGCUGGUCUGAGAGGAUGAUCAGCCACACUGGGACUGAGACACGGCCCAGACUCCUACGGGAGGCAGCAGUGGGGAAUAUUGGACAAUGGGCGCAAGCCUGAUCCAGCCAUGCCGCGUGNGUGAUGAAGGCCCUAGGGUUGUAAAGCUCUUUCGCCAGGGACGAUAAUGACGGUACCUGGAUAAGAACCCCGGNCUAACUUCGUGCCA
rnacentral:rRNA from 1 species